CUCCCCUUGAUGAAAAUAAAUGUGCCAAAUUUGAAGAUAAAGGCUCAGUGCUGGAUUAGAUUUUAAAUCCUUUUUUUUUUUAAAUCCUGAACUUUAAAAGACUGAUUUUAAAAGCAUUAUAUUGAAUUUAUUUAUCAACAAAAUUACAUAUUUACCUAAAACUUCAAAACAAAACAUGUGUAUUUCAUACUACCAUGAUAACAGCACAAAAUGAGUGUUCAAUCCACACCCCAGUUUACCCUCCUAUCUCUACAAACAUCCACACACAAUCAUAUAUACAUCUAUUGUACAAUACAACUUGAUUAAGUACCAAUUAUGUAAAAAGACUGUAUCAAUUGGAAUUUUUGAAGGCGAGACCACAACUCACAAUUUAUUUACCUCGGCAAGUUCAACAGUGAACACAAAUUUUGAUGUCUCUCUGGACU
rnacentral:lncRNA from 1 species